rnacentral:rRNA from 1 species
AACGAACGCUGGCGGCAUGCCUAACACAUGCAAGUCGAACGAUUGCCUUCGGGUGAUAGUGGCGCACGGGUGCGUAACGCGUGGGAAUCUGCCCUUAGGUUCGGAAUAACAGCUGGAAACGGCUGCUAAUACCGGAUGAUAUCGCGAGAUCAAAGAUUUAUCGCCUGAGGAUGAGCCCGCGUUGGAUUAGGUAGUUGGUGGGGUAAAGGCCUACCAAGCCGACGAUCCAUAGCUGGUCUGAGAGGAUGAUCAGCCCCACUGGGACUGAGACACGGCCCAGACUCCUACGGGAGGCAGCAGUGGGGAAUAUUGGACAAUGGGCGCAAGCCUGAUCCAGCAAUGCCGCGUGAGUGAUGAAGGCCCUAGGGUUGUAAAGCUCUUUUACCCGGGAAGAUAAUGACUGUACCGGGAGAAUAAGCCCCGGCUAACUCCGUG